GUCUGUUCCACAGAGCUGAAUUUGGAGGAAAGGUUUUGCUCAAGGUUAAGCCAGGCUGUCUGAGAGCAAUAGUGCCGUUGCAGUGUCCACUGGCAACAUUAUCUGAGCAGUGGGAUUUCCUACAGCUUAGGUUUCAAAUGGUUUACUUUGAUUUCUUAAAGCUAUAAAUAAGUUUGCUCAUCUUUAAAUGGCAAUGUUAGUGGCUACACCAUAGAAAACCCCUGCAUCAAAAGCAAGAGACACGAAUGGAAGGAAAGACACAGGGAAAUAAAGCCAAGAGGACUCAGGGUCUCCGUUGACUUACCCGCGGGCCGGGACAAGUGGCGCCCAACGUGGGGCCUGAGAAUGGGGGAUCCAGUGAAGAAUGCUGCUCGGGAGCCCAAUAAAAUAGAAGAGACAAAUAAAAUAGAAAAAAGAGGAUUGCGUUUGACAUGAACCUGCCGUCUUUCCUGCACCUCGGUUAAAAAGAUGACAUCCCUGAUUCUGUCACAUGGCCUGUUGCUGCUCCUGGCACUGACAGCAGAAAGCGGAUUUCAACCAGUUAACAAGGAACAACUGCUCAUUGCCCUGUAUGGUAACCCCUGUGACUGUGCCGGGGGUUCUGGCGGGCCCGUACCCACAAGUUACACCCGUAGUACUGAUUGCGGCAGCAAGACUGCCUACUUGGUUUAUGAGGCCUCGAUAACGGGAGGAUAUAACCAAAAAUGGGAUUGUGUCACUAAGCCUAAAGUCAUACUAACAAUCAAUGGCAAACCAGGGCCAUGCCCUACCGGCUGUGCCAUGGCCACAGAGAUGCACUCUACCUGUUACACUGAAGUCCAACAAUGUGCACAUUCUGAUGGAAAAAUAUAUCUAACUGCUGUUCUACAAAGAACUUACAGGGGCUCCGUCGGGGGUGACUGGGACUUUUCCAGUCCCACUGGAUAUCCUAAAUUUGGCCAAGCCUCCUGCAGUGGCAGUCCCGGCAAAGAUGUCUGCUGGCCGCCACAGGCCCCAAUUCAUAUAUCUGAUGGUGGCGGGCCUUCAGAUCAGCUCAGGGAAGAGCGAGUACAAAAACAGCUCGAGACUAUCAUCCAAGAGAUGUACCCCUCCCUAAAUUAUCAUCCACUGGCCCUUCCCAAACCUCGAGGCCCAGACCCUGACGUCCAAACCCUGAGUGUCUUAGAGGCCACUUAUCAAUUGAUCAAUACAUCCAACCCAGCCUUUGCUGCGGAUUGUUGGCUAUGCUUGACCCUUGGCACACCCCUGCCCCUCGUCUUGCCAGUUGUCGACCAAACUGACUAUGCCAACAGUUCUAGUUACAAUUGCAGUUUUUCUCUGCCCUUCAGGGUCCAGCCAGUACAGUUCAAUGCCUCAGUUUGUUAUCUAAGUUCAGGCCACAACGAUAGCUUCGAUAUACCUGUCGGAGUCCAAAAUUUCUCUCUCUGCUCUGUAACGCUUAAUGGCUCUGCCGCCAUUUGCCCUGCCCCGGGUCACGUGCUCGUCUGUGGAGGGAGCUUGGCAUUCACUUCCCUCCCCACUAAUUGGACUGGGCUGUGCGUGGUGGCGACUGUCCUCCCGGACAUCGCCCUCAUUCCUGGAGAUGAGCCAGUGCCCUUGCCCAGCUUUGACUAUAUCGCUGGGUGACAUAAAAGGGCCGUCUCACUGGUCCCCUUGCUCGUGGGGCUAGGGGUGUCCAGCGCCCUUGCCACUGGCUCCGCUGGCGUCGGAGUGGCGUUACACUCCUAUGCCAAAUUAUCCAACCAGUUGAUUAAUGAUGUUCAAGCUCUCUCCAACACUCUUACAGAUUUACAAGAUCAGAUUGAUUCUUUGGCUGAGGUGGUCCUUCAAAAUAGAAGGGGCCUGGACCUCCUCACGGCGGAACAAGGGGGGAUUUGCAUAGCCCUAAAAAACAUCGCUGUUUCUAUGCCAAUAAAUCUGGGCUCAUCAGGGGAAAAAUUCAUGAACUUCAGGAAGAUCUGAACAGACGACGACAAGAAUUCGCUCAAAAUCCCCUCUGGACUGGCCUCAAUGGUUUCCUCCCUUAUCUUCUCCCUUUGCUGGGACCCUUAUUGGGCCUACUUCUGCUCAUUUCUUUGGGGCCCGUAAUAUACAACAAAAUCAUGGCCUUUCUUAGAGCCUAGAUAGAGGCAAUAAAAACAGCGCCCAUACAGGUCCACUAUCAUAGAUUGGCAAUGGCUGACCAGGACGAAUGCUGGACCGUCGAUUAGGGCCUUGCCAUGGCAAAGUGUUCUCGCCCCACCUGGUGAGUGGGCUGGCAAGCCAAUGACGGGCAACUGAGCAAGCGUGCCAUGCAAUGAGAGAGCCCUCGUGCACCGCCUAAGACAGGUGUCAGAGCCUUGAUUGUCUGGUUAACCGAUGACGGGUAAGGUGCACGGUGCAGACACAUAUGUCCCUCUGACCCAAGACAGGCUCAGCCCCCACAGGCUUGGCUCUCCUGACGCCUUUCUACUAUAGUUAUAAUUUUAAAGGAAGGACCUGUGGGGGGCCUUGCCCCCCCCCCGCUAGAACUCUUGAGUGCCUUUUACGGGCAUGUCUGGGCCUGCUGCAAGUCUACCCGGCAACAAGGAAGUAGCCCCAGUACCCUCCCCUUGGUCCUCCCCUCUAGCCCUACGGUAUAUAUGCUGUAGCAGCUUCCGCAAUAAACGAG
ensembl:lncRNA